CCUACGGGUGGCAGCAGUGAGGAAUAUUGGUCAAUGGACGAGAGUCUGAACCAGCCAAGUAGCGUGAAGGAUGACUGCCCUAUGGGUUGUAAACCUCUUUUAUAUGGGAAUAAAAUGUUCCACGUGUGGGAUUUUGUAUGUACCAUAUGAAUAAGGAUCGGCUAACUCCGUGCCAGCAGCCGCGGUAAUACGGAGGAUCCGAGCGUUAUCCGGAUUUAUUGGGUUUAAAGGGAGCGUAGGUGGAUUGUUAAGUCAGUUGUGAAAGUUGGCGGCUCAACCGUAAAAUUGCCGUUGAAACUGGCAGUCUUGAGUACAGUAGAGGUGUGCGGAAUGCGUGGUGUAGCGGUGAAAUGCUUAGAUAUCACGAAGAACUCAGAUUGCGAAGGCAGCUCACUGGACUGCAACUGACACUGAGGCUCGAAAGUGUGGGUAUCGAACAGGAUUAGAUACCCUUGUAGUC
rnacentral:rRNA from 1 species